rnacentral:rRNA from 1 species
GUCCUAGCCGUAAACGAUGGCAACUAGGUGUGGGAGGUAUCGACCCCUUCUGUGCCGACGCUAACGCAUUAAGUUGCCCGCCUGGGGAGUACGGCCGCAAGGUUAAAACUCAAAGGAAUUGACGGGGGCCCGCACAAGCGGUGGAGCAUGUGGUUCAAUUCGACGCUACGCGAAGAACCUUACCUGGGCUCGAACGACUGGUAGUACCCUGUUUGAAAGGACGGGGGACCCGCAAGGGAGCCAGCCGAGGUGCUGCAUGGUUGUCGU